UGCAUAUUAAUCACGCUUACCACGUGGUGGUGAUUGCUGCGAUGUGUCGUUCUAAGUUCUCUGCAGAAAAUUUUAGCACGCACGCUAGAAAUUUCAUGCAUAUAUAGUAUGGAUUACACAUCACGAGGUGGAGUGCAAUCCUAAUCUAAACAGACAGUGCAUCCUCCAUUUCGUAAACAAGGUUAUAUAAACUACUCCUUAUGUUCCAUAAUGUAGUAUGUUUUGGAAAAUUAUUUUAGUUUUCCAAAAAAUAUCAAAUUAUGGAACAGAGGAUGUAUAUAUCAUAGUAUCUUUACUAUUAUAUUCGAGUUGGUACGUCGUCAAACAUGUUUGAUGUCAAAGAUUGGAGACAUCAUAGCCGUCAAAUCACGCCAUAAAGAAUCCGAACCAUCCGAUGGCCUCCUGCCCACCGCUGCUUCGCUGUAAAAAAUAUGGUAACCAGCAAAAAUUAGGGAAGUGUUUUUUAUUAGGGAAUCACGCCCACCAAACAUUGCAAGAAUCCAAACCAUCCGAUGGCCUGCUGCCCACCGCUGCUUCCCUGUAAAAAAUAUGGUACCAGCAACAAUUAAGGAAGUGUUUUAUUAGCAUACAAUGAAAGAUGGCAGUAUGGCUUCUCAAAAAAAAAAAAAAAAGAUGGCAGUAUGGCACAAACCACGGGAAUCUCGUCAUCAACCGAGUAUGUCGUCUGUUUCGUCGAUUUCGUCGAGCGGUUCCGUCCUCCCGCACGAGGAAAAUAUGGGCCAGGCCCAAAAAAUCCCACGUACCUACGGAAAUCAAGGCACUGACCCCCUCUCCCUCUAUUGGGGUCCUCUACUGAUUCAUAUCUGUCCCCGAUGGCGCCGCCAUGUCCUCCGAUCCUGGACGACAUUGGCUGCUCUCAGCGCUGCUCUUCACCGGCGCGAGCGCGACUACCUCAUGUCUACCAAUUCCCAUCACCGAUUCUCCCCUCUACAUUCUCAACUGUGGUCUCAGCUAACCCUACCAGCCUCAGUCUCCGGCGUUUGUGGACAGCUCAGAUCCGUUCUCCAUGGAACUAGAUCUCGAGCAUGGCAGCCGAGGGCGGAAGAGGACGUGGUUUCUUCUUGUUGUCCACGAGUGCGCCGUGCAUCGCUUGUUGAGCGGCCAGGUCCGUGUGAUGAAACCAUUCAGGUGAAGGAGAUCCUCAUCGAGGAGUCGAACAUGCUGCUGGUGAACAUCCCCGUGAUAGGUGUGCGGCGACAUCCUCGGACACUUCCAUGACCUGAUGCAACUGCGUAUUCAUGGGUGACUUCAUGGAUCACAGGUUCAACAGGCUUAAGGUCUUCACCGUUAUUUUGCUUCUCAAAGCGAGGUACUACAUGAAUGCCUGUCAUGAUGAAAUUCUUUAGCAUGUUGGAGAAUAAUUAUUCGUGGAGUGUCAACUUUAUUUCAUUAGACAGUUAAAAUGAAUAUAUUUUCUCUGGCCAGUUAUGAUUUAUGGCUACUGAACUUUCAUGCACAUAUGUCAAUUAAAUUUAUUCAUGCACAGUAUAAUGUAGUUGUAGAGAUAACGAAUGAGAGUUUAUAUGUGAGGGUUGUAUCUACGAGCGCCAGCCACAUAAGGUAAGCUAGAACAUGCAUGUGGCUAUUACUUGAUACUCCAUUCUGCACAAUGGGACAAUUGAUUCAUCUUGAUAAAGUUUCUCUGUGGUAACAUACUUUUUUACUCCAUAGUGGCGAAACCAAACAACUGUUAGUAACAAAUCUUUCUGUUCGAAAUUAGUUUGUUUUGCUUUGCUCCCAAAUAAUUAUUUCCAAUUACAUCGGUAUCAUGAUAAAUUCUUAUUUUAUUUAUUGAAAUUCAUGACAGUCACUAGGUAUCCUGGUCACAUAACUCUUAUGCGUGGGAACCAUGAAAGCAUGCAGUUGAUGCAGGUGUAUUCAUAUCCUGAUGUACAAAUACAUUUUUUAAGUUUACAGUAUGUUUGUCAUGCAUGCUCCCUUUCUAAUUAGAACUAGAAUGUCAGCUAAAGUAUUUGUGUGGAAGGUUUAUACAGGUUAACCUAUACAAUUGCAACUAAACCAACAAGUCAAAAAAAAUGCAACUAAACCAAUCCUACCAUCCAUGCGUCCUAAUACUCGUUUCUUUACUAAGGUAUAUGAUUUUUAUGAAGUGUCAGGUGAAGUAUGGGAAUGCAAAUGCAUGGAGAGCGCUAUUCUGCUAAUGCUUUUGAUUACCUUACACUUCCAGCAAUCAUAAAUGGCUUGGUAAGUUACUGUGGUCAAAGUAGCUAAAGUGGCAAGUUCUUAUGAGACCAAGGCAUACUUAGUGACAUGUUGAUUUUUUAUGUUAUCUGUGUUCAUGGUAGCCUUUCACCUGAUGCACACAUGGUUGAUCAGGUUUGUGAUUAUCUUCAGUUUUGGCUCAUAUUACUGAACUCGUGUUUUCAUUUAGACUGCUGGCCAAAUCAGAAUUUAUGAUUGAUAUUCAAAUAGUCAUGUAUCCUUAAGCAAAGUACUACUUCCUUAAAGGAUUUAAUCAAUUCAAGCAUCUAAUAUCGCUUUGAGCAGCUUCAUAUGUUGUUUGAAGGGUGUACUAAACUACGAAUCAAUGGAAACAUCAGAAAUACAUGGCUCUUAGUGUGCUCUAAUUUUCCAUCAGUUUUCUUCAUAUGGAUUGUCUUCCGUCGCAGGCGUCUUUGUUAGGUGCAUAUUUUUUUUGGUCGUAAAAUUAGACUUGCCACCCCUAGAUAUAUGAAAACAGGUUAGUUGACAGAACUACUCACUACAAAGGACAGCUCUCUAAUCAUGUAUUUUGAUUUCCCUGUUUUAUGAGAUAGGAGUGUUUAAUAUUGUCCAAUCAACUGACAUAUUGGCUGGUUUGCUUUUUGGUAAGUAACUCCGCAAAAUAUUUUUCCUAUUGCUUCAACAUGACCCACGCAUGUCGUUUUCAAGUGCAAUAUCUUACUAUUUGAACUGCACUUGAAAACCAUUUACACCAUUAUUUGUUUUGCUAUUUGAAAAGGAGACUAGGUAAUUUCAAUAAUCCAAACCAUAGUGUAACCAUUCUCAAUUUUUGGUGUAUGUCAAACUGAUUUCACCCUUAUUAUCUUUUUUUAUUUUUCAGGUUCCAUGUCCUAACGUUGAGUGACAAUCAUUAUUUCAUGACUAACCAUGUUCAGAACUGAAGGGUGUGCCAGCCGGAGUGACCCUUACAUAAGAACAAUCUUAAUAGUAGAAUUAUUUGUCUAACUAUUCUGUUUUAGGUCAUACAAUGAAAAGUUUCUCACGUGGCAUUUCAGACUCUUUUUGGACAAAUAAGUUUGUCCAUUUAUCAUUGUUAAAUCUGGUGUUGCUUUCCUUUUUUUUUCUAGAGUUCUUGCUGCAUUUCUCAUGUUCUUUCAGUAUGUAUGUGCCAAGUCCCAUGGCCUUAUAUGCAAUUUAUUAUAUGUUGCACCAUCUAUGUGUUCAUGCUAUUUUUAAUUGAUAGAUAAAUAAAAAAAUCAACAUGUUCCAGUGAAGUCAUGGAUUAGUGAAUUGAAAGUUGGACUAUGGUGUUCGCGCCUUAAAUAUUUUUUUACUUUUUGUGAACUUCUUAAUCAGGAUCAGCAGCUAAUUAUCUCCACAUGCAAAUCUGCAAAGUGUUCUGGAUUAAUCAUUUUGAACAGUUUAGCUUCUUUCUAUGGGCUUACUUGGUUAGGUUUGCUAUGGAUCUACCUUGCCAGCAGGUUGGUUUAGUUUGGGUUUAUGGAGGAACGAGUUGGUUAUGGUUACGUGUGGGCCAAUUCAGUUCAUUCUUUAGCAAUUACAAACUAUGGUGCAUAUCAUGAUGAAUAUUGUGGAAAUCAUGAUGAAUUUAUCAAACUUAUUCAAACCAAUUUUUGGAAUAAAAUGCAGUGGCAGUAAAAUGAUAUGGCAAAACUUCGAUUAACAUUACUCAAGGUACCUUAUAAAUUUUAUUGGCAUCUUUGCUUCUCUCAACAAUGAAGGUUGAUAUAAGUCUAACAGCAACAUAUGCUUCUCUCUUUUAAUUUCCGGAAAAUCAAAUUUUGGAUAUUUAUUUACUUUGAAAAGGCGGGAUGUGUAGAUGCAUCAGAGCUAUUGGUAAUUACAUAUGUUUUAAGAGAUUGCUGAAAUUUUAGAGAAGUGCCUAGGUUUUAUUUCUGCGGUUCUUUUCUAAUGCAAAUUUAUUUAGUCUUAACUAAUGAUGAUAAACAUUCCCAGUGCCAUAAUAAGCUGUAAGUUGAGGUAGCUGACUGAUUCAGGUAAACAGAAAAUUCACUCGGAUUUUAUGCUUGUUCAGUCUGGAUUUUUUUCUAUAAUCUACUCUCAAUUGCAAAGAGCAUGUAAUGCCCUUACCUGGAUUUUUUUCCCACAUUUUUAUCUCUAAUACAUCUUCGGUUGCUAAGCCAAGGAGGGAGAAAUUACCAUGUGGUAUGUAAUCCUGGAACAUCUUAUUUCUCAAUAAAGAAACGAGCUGUGUUAUUCAUGGUUCAAUAUUUUAA